rnacentral:lncRNA from 1 species
CACAAUCCGGGUCCAAUGUCACUUCUCCUCAUUAUGUUAAUAGUUAAUACAUGCAAAUGAAAACACUCUAGCAAUUUGAUUUCUUUGAAGAUAGUUUGCAUAUUGUCUUAGCCAUAAUGACUGUACACUUCUCUCAGCCUCCAUUUAUGCAAGGGUAGUGUAGUUCAUUUUUAUCAGCUCCAGUUCAUUUUGGCUGCUAUUGGAAUGUAUGUGCAUGUUUCUUUUUUACCUUUUGCCUAAUUACCAUUCAGGUACCAUAAGCAGAUUUUUCAUGCUAUUGGUGUUUUUCUUAAUUAAGAAACAAAUGAAUUCUCCCUAGCAAAAAAAGAUGGAACAACAGAAUAAGAUGCCAGGGGCUGAUGUUCUGUUUCUUAAUUGAAGCAGUUCUAUUGUUCGGUGUCGGUAGUGAGGGGGCUGAAAUGUCAUAAGUGUAGAAUGUUAAUAGUACAAAAAUAACAUAAAACUACUUUUAAAAAUAAAGAAUACAAAACAAUGCUGUAAGAGCUUUGAAAACAUAGAUUUUUAUCCACAUAUUAAUUCUGACAGUAACAAAGUAGCUUCAUUUACAAAUCCCUCACACUUAGAAAGCCUGAGGUUCUAACCCCAGUCCUGAGAGAUAUGCCUGCCCCACUCUGCUGGUCUAGUUAACAGUGUCCUACUUAUUUACUCUUCAUCAAUUAAGGAAGCACCCAGGGGAACAAUUUGUUUCUUUAAUUUGUGAAUAAACCAUUGCUACUUUAAUUUGCAUUCUUCUUUUUUUCUACCCACAGUAAAAUCUCAAUGUCCUACCAGUAUAUUCAAUAUGCCUUACUACAACCUUAAGGGGCAUCCUUUCAAACCCCACUGACACUCUAAGCUUUGGUCUCUCCAUGUACUCCUUCAUUUCCUUCUGCUGCUGUUGCUGCUGCUGCUGCUACUGCCCACGAGAACACUUGAGAUAGCUUGGAAGACUUUCAAGGAUAAAAAAAUCCUUAAUAAGGUACGAAAAAGAGCAACACAUUGGGCCCAGGGCCAAUUUAAAACUAUGUCUGCAUAUAAUAAUAUGUAUAAAAAUAAGCAUCUUAAAAUCACUCAGAAGGCAAAACAUUUGAUAGGGGUGAGAGAUGAACUCUU